UGGGGAAUAUUGCACAAUGGGGGAAACCCUGAUGCCGCGACGCCGCGUGAACGAAGAAGGUAUUCGUAUCGUAAAGUUCUGUCCUAUGGGAAGAUAAUGACAGUACCAUAGAAGAAAGCUCCGGCUAAAUACGUGCCAGCAGCCGCGGUAAUACGUAUGGAGCGAGCGUUGUCCGGAAUUAUUGGGCGUAAAGGGUACGCAGGCGGUUUAAUAAGUCGAAUGUUAAAGAUCGGGGCUCAACCCCGUAAAGCAUUGGAAACUGAUAAACUUGAGUAGUGGAGAGGAAAGUGGAAUUCCUAGUGUAGUGGUGAAAUACGUAGAUAUUAGGAGGAAUACCAGUAGCGAAGGCGACUUUCUGGACACAAACUGACGCUGAGGUACGAAAGCGUGGAGAGCAAACAGG
rnacentral:rRNA from 1 species